UUGGCAGAGAUGCCUUAUGUGCCUUCGGGAACCGUGAGACAGGUGCUGCAUGGCUGUCGUCAGCUCGUGUUGUGAAAUGUUGGGUUAAGUCCCGCAACGAGCGCAACCCUUAUCCUUUGUUGCCAGCGUUCCGGCCGGGAACUCAAAGGAGACUGCCAGUGAUAAACUGGAGGAAGGUGGGGAUGACGUCAAGUCAUCAUGGGCCCUUACGACCAGGGCUACACACGUGCUACAAUGGCAUAUACAAAGAGAAGCGACCUCGCGAGGAGCAAGCGGACCUCAUAAAGUAUGUCGUAGUCCGGAUUGGAGUCUGCAACUCGACUCCAUGAAGUCGGAAUCGCUAGUAAUCGUGGAUCAGAAUGCCACGGU
rnacentral:rRNA from 1 species